CAAGGAAUAGUUUAUGAAAAUUUUAAUUUUGGAGAUUAAAGAUGAGGAGAAUUAUCCUUUUCCUUGA
rnacentral:tRNA from 1 species